CUUGACUUUGGCAUAGGCUUAGUAUUUGUGCCUGUGUGGCUGCUUUAUUUUUGGUACCGGGGAUUGAACUUGGGACCUUGCGCUUGCACAGCAGGCGCCGGAACCACUGAGCUAAAUCCCCAGCCUGUGGCUUCUUUUUUUUUGAGCUACUGGAACCCAGGGGUGCUCUGCCACUGAGCCACACCCCAGCCCUGUUCAUUUUCUAUUUUGAUACGGAGUCUCGCUGAGGUGCCCAGACUUAGCCUCGAACUUGCAAUCUUCCUGCCUCAGCCUCCUGAGUAGCUGGGAUUGCAGGUGUGUGCUUCCGUGCCCAGCCAGACUUCGUGUGCACAUGGAUUCUUCCGUCUUCCAGGGCCUGUCCUACUCUCUCAGCCUCUAGAGGGGCUGCCAGGCUUGGACUUCACUGCGCCCGCCCCACUGCCUUCGUACUUGUGGGGCUGGUGAGCUGUGAGCCUGCCAGCGGCCAGAGGUAAAGAACAAAGAGGUGCUCCUUGGCCCCUGGCAGCUCUUCAGAGCCCCAUUCCCGGGCCCUGGCCGAGGCUUGUUGUGGUGGAAGUGGUGCAGGUUGCGAUGAAGUCCCAGGUCCCUGAGCCGAGUGCAGGAAGCACCCCCCCCCCAAAGCCCCUCUGCUGUAACCUCGGUCCUGGCAGGGGCCCCGAGGGGGCUGUCUCCUUCCAUGGGGAGCUCAGUGUGUGCCAGGCCUGGGCUCAAUCCCCAACACACACUUGCACAUGUACACACACACACACACACACACAGACACACGUGUGCCUGGAAGAAGACACAGGGAUGUCCCGGGGUGUGGCUCGCCUCUGUGAUGCCCAUGUGUGCUUGUGCAUGUGAGUGUGUGCUUGCAUCAAACAUGCACAGUGGUGCUGGAAGGGCAGGGGGAGUUUGGGGGUGCCCGGCUGUCUGUGAUGGUGUGGGCGGGACGCACACUCAGGUGGUGGUGUGGACCCACUGGCUGUGUGAACUGGAGUGUGUGUCUGGGUGUGAGCUCACGUGGGAUGUGAGCGGGGAUGGAGAUGUUCACAGAGCACGCCUCCCUCAGGGUCCCCUCUGAGGGCCGAAGGCAGCUGUGUGGCACUGCAGAACGGGGGCUAUGUGCUUUGGGGGAUCCACAUUCUGCCCAAAGUCUGCUCCCUCUCCUGGGCAUCUUCCCCCACAUCCCAGGGGCCAAAAAAAAGAAAAUGUCAGUCUGGGCAUGGUGGUGCACGCCUGCAAUCCCAGCACUUGGGAGGCUGAGGCAGGAAGAUCGCUGUGAGUUUGAAGCCAGCCUGGACCGCAUAGUGAGACCCUGUCUCAAACCCCCCCCCGCCCCGUACCAAACCAAACCAAAGGAACCAACAAAGAAAAGAACAAGCUGUGGACACUGAGGCCUCCUCAGCCUACCCUCUGGACCUCGAGCAGCCCCUUGAGCUGCCCAGGACUGUGUGCAGGCUUUAAGCGGGGAGCGGGGGACUUGCCCUCCGGGCCCCGGGCCGGCUGGUGCGGGGUGCGGGGUGCGGGGCUGCGCACAUUUGGUUUCCAUUUCCCUCUCCUCAGCGGAGAGCAAGCCCUGAUGCUGCUGCCAGCGGGGGCUGGGCCUGCGCGGCGGGAAGGGAACGUGGGCGCACAGACGGCUCCCCUGGACUCAGGCGGGGCACCGGCCCCCUCCAAGCUCCUGUCAAAGCCCAUUGUCCUGAGCUCUCUGCCCGCGGAGCCGGAUUCUGCCACCAACUGCUCUGGGAACGGGAGAGAUGGGGCGCCUCUCAGUCCCUUUCUGGGGGACACAGGACUGCACACCAUGGCGGGGUGACCUCUGCUCCAGAGUCAAGCAGGCUCUCAUUAGGUCCUCGCUGUCUUAGUGACCUGGCCCCUCCCGCCCCCCGUCUGAGGGUCCCCGGGGCUGGGGCAGAUUGGGGUCAGAGAGCAGGAGUCGGGGCCCGUGACACAUAAUCAGAACCAUGCUCUGCUGCAGCAGCAGGCACCACCCAGCCCACCGCCCAGGACCUUGGCAACUCCAGCUGCCGGGGAGGGGUGGGGCCGGAGCAGGGCCUGGGCUGGGCUUCUCGGGCCCUUAGGCGGGCUCUGCAGUCAAACAACAUAUUUUCACCAUGCAACGGUAUUUAAUUACACAUAAAAACAGAGCCAUUAAACUGAAAUUAAACCCUUGUUGGAAUCACUUAA
rnacentral:lncRNA from 1 species